GAUGAACGCUGGCGGCGUGCCUAAUACAUGCAAGUCGAACGAAUAGAGAAAGGUGCUUGCACUUUUCUAGUGAGUGGCGAACGGGUGAGUAACACGUGGAAAACCUGCCACAAGGCUGGGGUUAACUCUUGGAAACAGAUGCUAAUCCCGAAUAAAAUUUAGUCUCGCUCGACACAAAGUUAAAAGGCGCUUUGCCGUCACUUAGAGAUGGAUCCGCGCUGCAUUAGUUAGUUGGUGAGGUAACGGCUUACCAAGACAAUGAUGCAUAGCCGAGUUGAGAGAGUGAUCGGCCACAUUGGGACUGAGACACGGCCCAGACUCCUACGGGAGGCUGCAGUAGGGAAUCUUCCACAAUGGGCGAAAGCCUGAUGGAGCAACGCCGCGUGAGUGAUGAAGGCUUUCGGAUCGUAAAACACUGUUGUAUGGGAAGAACAGAUGGGAUAGGAAAUGAUUUUAGUUUGACGGUACCAUACCAGAAAGGGACGGCUAAAUACGUG
rnacentral:rRNA from 1 species